rnacentral:rRNA from 1 species
AUACGAACCGUACGAACGUUAUUCGGAAUUAUUGGGCUUAAAGGGUGCGUAGGCGGCUCAGUAAGUUGGGUGUGAAAGCCCUCGGCUUAACCGAGGAACUGCGCCCAAAACUACUGGGCUCGAGGGAGACAGAGGUGAGCGGAACUACGGGUGGAGCGGUGAAAUGCGUUGAUAUCCGUCGGAACACCAGGGGCGAAAGCGGCUCACUGGGUCUCUUCUGACGCUGAGGCACGAAAGCUAGGGGAGCGAACGGGAUUAGAUACCCCGGUAGUCCUAGCCGUAAACGAUGAGCACUAGAUCGAAGUGUACUCCAUAGCCUUUUGGUCGUAGCGAAAGUGUUAAGUGCUCCGCCGGGGGAUUAUGGUCGCAAGGCUGAA